CGUAGGGUGCAGGCGUUAAUCGGAAUUACUGGGCGUAAAGCGUGCGCAGGCGGUUUCUUAAGUCAGAUGUGAAAGCCCCGGGCUUAACCUGGGAACUGCGUUUGAAACUGGGAGACUAGAGUGUGGCAGAGGGGGGUGGAAUUCCACGUGUAGCAGUGAAAUGCGUAGAUAUGUGGAGGAACACCGAUGGCGAAGGCAGCCCCCUGGGCUAACACUGACGCUCAUGCACGAAAGCGUGGGGAGCAAACAGGAUUAGAUACCCUGGUAGUCCACGCCCUAAACGAUGUCAACUGGUUGUCGGGGGAUUAAUUCCCUUGGUAACGAAGCUAACGCGUGAAGUUGACCGCCUGGGGAGUACGGCCGCAAGGUUG
rnacentral:rRNA from 1 species